AAUGAAGUGCCUGAUCUAAAAAGGAUUAUUUUGAUAGAAUAAAUCAUGUAAAUAUUUUACCUUCAUUA
rnacentral:tRNA from 2 species